CUGUGGUAGUUUCAUGUCACCAUCCUUGCCACUGGGGGCCUCUGUCCCAGGGACGGCCACAGGGGCCAAGGAGGAGCCUGGGGGGCUCCCAGCCUCGGGGGUGGGCACUGGUGCUCUCACCCCGGGCGGCCGGGGCCCUGAGAAGGUGGCUUCCUUGGGUUCCCGGGGUCUCUGCCCGCUGCUCCGUGCAGCACUGUCUCUGCAGGGCCACCGCUCGGUUCAGGGCAGCCGGAACCGCUCCAUGGCUCCAAACUCUAAAGGCAGCUGGUGGGGGUCACUGGAGGCUAAGGUGCUCGGCCGCUGGCAGGGGGGCCAGGGUCGGGCCCUCCGUCCGUCCUAGCGUACCCCAUCUGGUUUGCUCAGACCCCAUUCACACCCAGCGGAGGCCCCGUCACCGAGCUGGAGGUCGCGGAGGUGAGGGAGGGAGGCGUCUUCUCCCCUGCGGCCACCCGGCUGCUGGCCUGCGGCCCCAAUCGGAGGCAAAGGAUCAGGUCUGGAGUGAGGGCUCCUCUGGGUGCCCGCUGGGCCCGGGCAGUCAGCGGAGACUGGGCAUUGCCUGGAGGCGGUGAGGCCCGGCCCUUCCCUCCUGAAGACUCCCCAGCCCUCGUGCUGGGCUGGCCUUGCCCCCCUCAAUCACAGCCUCUGCCAGGCCAGCCUUACAGGCUCUGCCUUCUCGUCCCUGGAGCUUGGCCCUGAGCCGGACGCCCCGCUCUACCUGCGGCAGAGGGGCUGCGGGGGCCUUCCUGAGGAGACGGCCUCCAGAUCGCAGUGAGGAUGGGUCACCCUUCCAGGUCUGGGGGCGGUGCUGCCCUACCGUCUCUUUCCAGAAAAUCCUGAAGCCCCGCCCUCAGCCUCAGGAGUCACAGACGUCUGAAGAAGUCGGCUGCGGUGAGCUAACCGAGGGCUUGUAGGAACCGUCCGUCCUCUGACCCUACCCCAGGGCCAGACGGCGGCCGCGCCCCGAGCCCGGCUCUGCUGGCAGUGGGGAGCCGGGGGUCUAGCCUCGCCCCAGCAGCUGCCCUGAGGGCCCACGCGCCCACCGCCCAGCCGGACCUGGCCUGGCCUUCUGGUUCCUCCAGCCCCUGAGGGAAGAGCCGUGUCCCCAGCCUCACCCCCCGCGCUGACCCUGGGGGCGGCUCCUGCUCCCCAGCCCAGCAGGAACCACCAGAGACCGCCCCCAGCGUGCUUUCAGCUCAUUCCUUUAAUAAGGAGAUGCCGCUUAUUACAAAAGAACAUGUUGACAAGAGAUGAGACAAGAACAGAGUCCACAGGGCGGGGGGGUGGGUGCUGGACAUGGGUCCUUCCUGGGACGGGGAAGGCAGGGGUCCUGGUGGGGCUGCGCGUGCCAGGGGGCCUGGGGCCUGCCCGCCAUGCUCUUGCAGUCUUCAGACCCCAGGAUUUCAGAAGCAGCGGAUCCCGCCCUCGGAGAGGAAGCGCCAGGGCAGAACGUCUGGCUUCUCGGAAGGGGUCCUGGGGUCCCGAUGGCUGAGGGGGGCCCUACGCACCCCCGGCUCCCGCCACCCCCCCAGCACAAGGGGCCUGGCUCGUAGCGCACAGGGCCCACCUGCCCACCUGCGGCCUCGUCGGCGCUCCUGUCAGACCCCCUGCAUUUCCCCCUCCUCCCAUCAGGGCUGGCCGGAGGGGUCGCUCCCGUGCGUGGCGUUCCUCUGCACCGGGGCCUGCGGCUACUGUCCCUCCUGGUUCAGCGAGAUGGCUCGGGACCUGGGGCCCCCCGGCCCCCUUCCACCUCCCGCCCUCCCAUGGGACACCUGGCCGGGGCUGGGCCGGGGCGCUGGCGAGGGUCCCUCGUAGCCAGAGCCGCCCAGCCGCAGGAGAGAGCAUGCGGGGGAGCUUGGCCUACUGUGCUCUCCAGCCCCCGGGGUCCCUCCCCACUGCCACCCUUGGCCCCCCAAGCCCCCAGUGUCACGUGAGCAGGGCUGCUUGUCCACCCGGGCGGCAUCGGGGACCUGACCACAGACCUGGCCACCAACAGCUCCUGAGAACCCUCGUCGCCUGCACGGGGUACCCCCAUGGCCCAUCCACCCCCCCACGUGGAGUCGGACCGCAACACCAGGUGAGGGAGCCGGGCCAGCGGGGGCAUCUGCUGGGGCCCCACUGGGAGACCUGGACACCAUCCGUCCUCGCAACGUGGGGCUGGGAGCAGAGGUGACGAUGGUAUUGCAGCUCAAAGAAUGGGUAGAAUCCUGGUGACCUGUCCCUGCCCCGAGGCUCGGGGUGAGAGCGAGGCAGAAGUGGUCGCAGGACUGGCCUGCCAGACAGAGCAUGGACGGCGGGGCAGCCUGAGUUUCGGGUGAACUUUGGGAGUGAAAACGCACAGCCUGGAGGCCUCCAGAACCCCUCGUAGCCAACCUUAAUUCUGUCCCACUCAGGGCAGGAUCCCGACACCCCAGAAACGAGCCUGGUGGCAGUGAAGGUGCUCUGUGGACUGGCCCGGGCCCUAGGACCAGCCCACAGUCUUCGUCAGGUCCCAGCUUCUCGGCAUCAAGUGAAGAAUGACUUCCUGAGGACCAAGGGCCACGGGCAAGCCUGAGCCCCACUGCCCAGCUGCUGCUCCUGGAGGAGACGGCUUCUCACCAGCUGCCCGGCCGGGAAACGCAGCCGGGCAGGAACACAUGCCUGCUCCUUUCUGACAGUGAAAGAGACAUCCCUCUGCCUCAGGUGCCUGCAGACGCCAGGGGGGCUCGACGGGGUGGGAGGUGCUGCCACGGGUGCUGGGAAAGAGGCGCAGCUCCGGGUCUGGGAAGCCUUGAGUGUUCUGGGCCGAGGAGAGGGCCGGGGCCUGCAGCUGCAGAGACGAGGGCGGCUGAGGGGGGCUGCAUGCUCUCGCCCAGGCUGCAGGUUUGGAAGGAGACUCGGUGCACACUGGACUAACGUAUAUAUGGCUUUUUAUCGAUGCUGGGGACACGAGGUGAGCGGGGAACGAGCACAGUGACCGCGGGGCAGAACCCGGCCCACGUCCUCCGCCACCGCUCAGAAUGGCCGCCCUGCUCCUCGGGAUUCACAGCAAGUCCCUCGGGAGUGCUGGGCGGGGCCUCCCCGCAGGACCCCUGGGAAAACUCAGCUAGCUGUCCACUACCCUCCCCUCCUUACCUGGGCCUCAGGGGAGCUAAGAACCUGUAAACCUUCCUUUUCAAGCCCUCUGGCCCUGAACGGAUACCGUGUCUUCAGACAGCGCAGCUCCACUUUGAUUAAGGGAGAAGCACAGGCGGGAGGGGAAGAGAUGCCAGUGACUGCUGGCUUCCGUCCUAGAAAGGGAGCCGACAUCUGGGUCUCCCACCGCAAGGGCAAAGGCCCGGCAGUUUCAUUUUGGCCUUUCUGGGGAGCGGGUCUUCUGUUUCUUUGCGGUUUGACAUCACCCGUCAGCAAGGUGAGGUCGCGGGAUGGACAGUCCCCGUUCGAGUCCAGCCAGUCUAGCCUGUAGCUCAGGUCUGUGGUGUCCCGGGAAGCCCCCGGCAGCAGGAGGAGGUCCACGCCGGCACCGGGCUUUGGUCCUGGCUCUGCACAGUCCAGUCUCCCCGUCUCACCUCCCAAACAAACAGCCACUCCCACACAGCGUGGGAGUUCCCCAGUCUGAGCAGGGUUCUAAGCCCUCUGCUCCCACAAGGCACCCUGUCCGCGGCCCUCCACGAGCACAGGGGAUGCGCACACACGCACGGAUCCCUGGCCGCUGGCUGCCUUCCGUCAGGAGUCAGGAGGUGCUGCCAUUGCGUUGGUCCGGAACGCUCAGAAAACAGAAAAUGCCACCACUUUCUGCCAAGAGAGCCUCCCUCGGGGUAAGGGCUGGGCGGAGCUUUGGAGGAGGAGGGUGGCGGGCAUGCAGCGAGGAAGCUCCCGGGGCGACGACGGGCCAGGCUUCUCUCACCUCCGAGGGGCCCUCCUCAGCCGCCGUUGGAGGGAGGGGGUCUUUAGAAAGAGGACGAGGGCAGAGGAGCGAGGGCACGGCCGCACACGGGUGGGCAGGGACGCCUCGAGGGCUGCCCAGCUGAGGCAGCAGCGGCUCUGGCCGCGGCCCCUACUUGUUCUUGCCCAGCAGCGCGUCCACCUCCUCCUCGGGCUUGAGUGAGUGCCACUGGGCGAUGGGCCGGCGGGGGUUGGCCAGCAUGUCGGACCAGUGCCGCAGCUCCGUGCCCGUGGCGCUGCUGCCCACGAAGAUCUUGCCGAUGGCUUCGUUCUUGCCCAGCUUGUCGUAAUCCAGCACGGUGACCACCACCUGGACUUUCUGCAGGGGGCAAAGGGAAGGGCAGUGGGCAGGAGAAGGGCCCGGCGGCCGGCCCCUCCCUCCCCAGCUCUAACUGGGCGGGCGGGCACACAGAGGUGGGGCCCGUGCCUCUGGCGCAUCCUUCGCUUCUACCAACGACUGAACACAGGCCCCCGGCAGCGUGCUGAGCGCCUGGGAGCAGAAGGGCAGACGCAUCCUCGCAAGGUGACAAAGGUCACACCCGAGAGGCCAGCAGGAGGCACCUCGGGACCUCAGAGGGAGUGACGUCCGGCUGGUGAGUUAGGGCAGGCUUCACGGAGGAAGUGACCUGGACUGGGGGGUGGAGGGGCAGCAGGGGCAGGUGGGCGUCCACCGCCUCAGCGGCUGCAGCCUCUCCACACACACGCCCUGCCACCACCUCGCGGCCAAAAGGAGGUGUCUGUGAGCAGCUCCCGCUCACCUCCCCAGAAAAGGGGCGGGCUGGGAAGUGCCGGGCAUGGCCGGCCGGCCGUCUGUAGCAGUCAGUGGGGGAGGCCACCCGCCCCACGUCCACCCCUGCCAGCCCAGCACCUGGAUCUGCUCGAAGGGGAUCUCGAAGCUGAAGGACUCGUUGAAGUACGGGUUCAGGGUCUUCUUCUUCACUGUCGUCUUCUUCUUCUUGAGCCUCUUGCCGUUCUGCAUCAGGUGGAUCUUCACGUAGGGGUCUGUGCGGAGGCAGCCGGCAAGGCCCUGAGCACGCGCCCGGCCCGCCAGCCCAGGGACGGCAGAGCCAGCUUCCGGGCCAGGGCGGCCAGAGGCUUCACCUCUGGGACCCGCCAUGGCUGUGGCCGCCUGGAGCUCGGGGCUCUGCUGGGACGGGCCGGCGCUCAGUGAGGAGCCAGGGGGCCACUUGGUGGUGUCCGUCCUGGGCAGGGGGCACGUCAGCGACCCACCCCAUCCCAUCCUACCGACCUUGUCAAUGAGCAACGAGGCCCAGAGAAGGGCACCCGUCUGCCCGAGGUCACACGGGGGCUCAGGGACAGAGCUGGGCUGGCGGGAACCUGAGCAGUUCAGGAGGCCGGGCAGUCGCACCCCCCAGCCCCGCCCAGAGCCCCUUCCAAGGCAGGGCCACCCCCAUCUCCCCCGCCCCCGGUAGAAUGGCCCGCGUCAGGCCGAGCCCUCCCACCGCCUGCCCUCCCUGUCCCUGCCUCACCUGGGGGUGACGUCCCUGACCCCUUCCCUCCAGAGCCCACAGGGAGAGCAGCAGAAAGGCAGCUCUCAGCGGGGCUCCCCGCCCCGUCCUGCCCUGAGGACCCAAAGCCGCUCAGACAGCCUGUGUGUCCCGCGCAUCUGAGGCCUGCUAUCCAGGUCGAGGGCUCUGGGCCGCGACCGGCUGGCAGGUGCCCCCGAUGGCGGCCAGAAGCCACGCACACACCUGAAAGGCCACCCACGUCCAUCUUCUUGAGGUUCUUGGCCUCCAGGAUGCAGACGGUCCCUCCACUCCUCGAUGGGCUGCCCCAGGUCCACGGUGUUCAUGGGCACCUUCACCUCCCCGAUGAUGUCGUGUUUGGAGAAGCGGUCAAAGUCGUAGAUGGCCAUCACCAGGGUCUUGCCCCCCAGCUCCUGGAGGAAGACCUUGACAUAAGGGUCCGAGGUGCCGCCCAUGUCCAGGGCGGGCAGCUCCGCGGCCUGCAGGACGCCCACGCCGGGGUGCCCGCCCCGUGGAGCCUUGGGGGCCGCCCCCGCCCCGCACACCUGGUUGGCCUGGAAGUCGUAGUCCAGGGAGAACUGCAGCUUCCCCAGGUUCUCCGGCUCUUCGGCCUCGCCCUCGCCCUCGCCCUCCGUCAGGCCCGUCUCGGCGUCGUCAUCGUCCUGGGGGGCUGAGGAGGGGAGGGAGGGUCAAGGGGGGGAAGGCGGGGUGCCUGCCCCCGUGCAGACCCCAACCCAGAGCUGGAGGGGCUCCGUCGGGCCCCGCUUCCCCUCAGCCCCCAGCCCGGCCCUGUCCCUGCGGGGCCAGCACGGCCCAGAUGCCACGCGGCUUCUUGAGUGGCGGAGCCUCCCUGUGACCCCGCCCCGCCCCCAGCUCAGGCCACCACAUGGGCAGCACGUACCAGGCGUGCAGGCCGGGCGUCCAGGCCAGGCGAGUCCACAGGUGGGAAGAGAAGGGAGAGAGUGGUAAGAAAAUCCUGCAGCUCAGACCAGCCGCAUGGUAGGGCCGGGGCCCCCACAGGCUCACACGCACACGCACGUCCACGUGCGUGCUCACGCUCUCACACACGUGUGCACGUGCACGCGCAGACUCAAAGGCCACGGCCCCUGGCUGACCUCCUGAGAUCAGCCCUCCUUCCUUCCUCCACACUGAUUCCUUGAGCAAGAAAUUUCUCCCAGAACAAACGUGGGGAAAGUGAGGGGCCCGGGGCCUCUGCAAACUUAAAAGGAGACACAGGUACAUCAGGGCAUCUUCCAGGCUGCUCCCUGAAAGAUGGGGAGAAGAGCCACGUCCUUGUGGACGAGAGACGGCCCCACAGGGCCCCACAAUGAGGACAUGGUCCAGCAGCCCUGCCGGUGGGAAACCGGGUCACACGAUGGUGGCUUCCUGGUGGGCGGGGGUCUCUCUUCCCAGCAUUUUGUCCCAACGGCCUCCUUUUGGGUCAAUCAAGGACAGUCCCUGCUGACCUGAGCGAGCUCUUCCCACCUAGAGAGCAUCAAGGGGCCUCUGGUCACCCGGCCCCGCCUACCUGGCCACCCUUCAUGUCCUUCAUGUUCAUGGCGUUCUUGGCACCCUUGCCCUUCUCCUUCUUGUUCUUCUUCUUCUUCCAGCAGCACUUCUUGCAGAUGCAGAAGCAGCAGGCGAGGAGCAGAAGGCCCAGGAGCACCGCGAUGGCGCCCAGCGCCCAGGGGGGCACUGCCCACAGGGAGACGGGGUCAGCGGCGCUCAGGCAGCCCCGACCCCUCGGGGAUAGAAAGCUGGGUCGGGGCCUGGCCCUGCUGCUGCACCCCGCGUUGUAAACCCACGCUAAGUUGCAUGCUUCGAUGCCCUCCCCUUUCUGCCGCCCCAGCGGGGACAGCCUGUGACAGGGACAGCAGCCAGGUGCAUACCACGGGGCCCCCAUCUGGGCUCUGCUGAGAUCUGACAACUUUGACCCUUGGAACUGCGGGUCACACGAAGGAUGGGAGGGUCCUCAUCAGACCCCGGUGGGGUAGGAAGGCCCGGCCCUCAGGCGCAGUCCUGAGCGGGCUGAGCCUGCGCCAGGAGGCCGGGCUCAGAGGGCCCGCGGGUUUGGGGAAGUGCGGGGAGGGGCGGGCCGCGGGCCGGCCGGGGCUGCUCUCCGAGGUGCUGAAGCACCGCCUCCCACCAGUGGGGCUGCUCCCCGAAUCCGGACCUCGGGUUUCUCCCCACAGCCUUUACCAGAAAUCCAGGAAGCAGUAGGGGGUUUUAUUUUCUAUCUUGCAAAAUAAAGUA